ACAUGUUUGAUUGAAGGUAAUGGCUAUGCCAUUACUUACCUAUUACAAGUCUUCCCACUUAAACAGAUGUUUAGUUGAAGGGAAUACCCUAUUACGGGUGUAUUCCAUUCGGGAUUUUAGCAGAAAAUUUUGGGGAUUUCUAUUCCCUUCCCUCUACACUGUUUACCCAUUCAUUCCCAUAUCAACCCUAUUUUACCCUCACAAAUUCUCACCUCAAAAACACUCAAUGGCAGCCAUUUCUUGCUUCCUCCGACUUCGGCAUUCCUCCCCUUCAUCCAAGGUCAGUUUCGACUUGGUCGUAGGAUCGGCAGUGGCUCUUUUGGAGAGAUCUAUCUGGGUACGAACCUUCAAACCAACGAAGAGGUUGCCAUUAAGUUUUGUGUUAUUGCUUCCUCUUCUUCUUUGGCUUGUUUAAUUGUUUCCUCCACCCACAGUUGAGUGUCUUGUAUUCACUGAAUCACUUUAUGUUAGGUUUUUCACAAUCAAGUGUUUCUUCCCAAAAUUCUCGAGGAACCAAAAAGAAAUGGGUUCCAGAAGAAGAUGCUGCGUUGGUUUCUUGUAUGGUUGACUUGCACAAUGUUGGAACCUUUAAUACUGAUACGGGAUUCAAAGCCGGUUAUUUAAAUGAGUUGGAAAAAAUGUUAGAAAAAUUUUUACCCAAUGCCAUGUUGAAGGCUAAACCUAAUCUUGAAUUGAGGAUUAGGACAUUGAAAAGGGAUUGGUCAAUCGUUUACGGCAUGUUUAAUGGAAAAAACAAUAGCGGUUUUGGUUGGGAUGAGCAUAGGCAGCUUGUUGUUGCUGAAGAUCCGGUGUGAAACUCAUAUAUAAAUAGUCAUAAAGAAGCCGGUCAAUUCAAACAUCGUAGUUUCCCUUAUUAUGACUAACUUACUGCCAUAUUCGUAAAAGAUCGAGCCACUAGGAAAGAUGCUUAAACAGCUGCUGGUAUUAUUGAAGAAAUAUAUGUUAAGGAUGUAGCUACUACAAAUAUUCAUGAAGAAAGAAAUGAUUUCUAUGGAUGCGAAGUUGAUGUUUCUUCGGAUGACAUGGAUGUUUUAGCUACACAACCGCAACCAGCUAGAAACUAAGGUGAUUCCACAUUUUCAAAGAAGAAAAAAAAAUAUUUCUGAUGCAAGUAAUCAUAUUUCUUCUAUUUCAUUUCAUGAUGCUGCCACUUUAUUGGCGGAAAACAUACAGAUUGUUGGCGUUGAAAACAGUAGGAGUAUUGCCUCUGAAGUGCUAAUUCAACAAAAGUCAGAAAUGACCAUUCAAGAAAGAGCUUUAAAUUUAUAUCCAACAUUAUGUGAAGUAGAAGGUUUAACUGAGGAUGAGCACUAUUGUGCAUUGAGUAAAAUUCCAAAUCAUCCAACACAAAUGCUCAUUUUCUUUAGUUUACCUUCUUUUGUGCGAUUGGAAUGAGUCAUGUAACAGCUCUAUUUUGACCCUAAUCGAACAAAGUGGUUUCGGGACCACAAAUCUGAGUCAAAAAAAUAAUUUAAAAUUAUUUUUGGUAUUUGCAGUAUGUGAAUUACUAUGUGUAAAAAUUUCGUAUAAAAAUUUGAUCGUUUGAGUGCUUAAUUUGAUAAAAAGGGCUUAAUCGCGCAAAAUAAAAAUUUAGGGGUUAAAUCUAAAAGCAUCUAUUUGUUGUUGUCUUUUUAAUUAGAAGGUUUAAAGAUGCAAUUUAACUACUAUUUAGAUAGUGGGUGGAUAAGGUCAAAACUAACCUUAAUAUAUAAAGGUUAUAAUUAUUUUUAAUAAGGUUAAAUUAGUAAAUUACAAAUUAUUAUAAUACAUAAUAGUUAAAACAUAAAAUAUAGUUUGUAUCAUCUUCUUUAGCCAAAAUUGAGAUGAAAGAAAGCCAUUAAAAGAAGAAGGUUCGGCCAUAUUCUUGCUUAAUUAAAGGUUUGUUUUUGUUUGGUUUUUGAAAAUUUUUAUGUUUUUAAGAUCGUUGCUUUGUGUACUACAAGACCCAUGCUUUAAUUUUAGAAUUUGGUGAUGAUUUUGUGAUAUGCCAUUGAUGAAUGCUUGAGCUUUGUGAUAGUUGAUGAUAAAAUAUGAAAGAUAUGUGAAAGAUUAACAUGUUUUGUCUUUGAAUUUUUGGUGAAAUUGAGUAAUUAGGGCUAAAUUAUGAAAUUAAAUUUUUGAGGGACUAAAAUGUGAAAUAAAUGAAAUGUGUGGACUUGUAUGAGCACUAGGAACAUUCGGCCCUUGUAUAGUGUGGGCAAAUUUUGUGUAUUUUGUGUUUUAUGCAAUAGGGACUAAAUUGUAAAAAGUGUAAAUGUCAUGGGUAAAAUGAUAAUUUGCCAAUUUAUGUAUUUUUGGACUAAAUUUAAUGUAAUAAUAUUUAAUUUAGCUCAUUUUUAAUAUAUUUAAAUCAAGAACCAAAGAAAUCAGAGUUUGAUCGGGGAAAAGCUAAAGUUGUCGACUAAUCGUCCGGUUUCGAUUUUUCACUAUCUGAGGUAAGUCUAUUAGCUAUUUAAUGUUAUUAAAUCGGUAUAUAUGUAUGUAAAUGUAUUGUAUUUUUGUUGAACUUUAAUUUAAAUGUAUAUUGAUUGAAAUAAAAUAAAGUAUGAAUGAUAUACAUGUAUUAUUAAUGUUCAAAUAUAUAUAUAGGUUUAUACUUAUAUAAACCUUUAAAUUUUGUGAAAGUAUAAAUGGUAUAUAAGUAUAUACAUGUAUAAAUUAUUGGAUUAAUCAAAGAUAUGUAUAAGAUAUAUGUAUAUAUAUAAGGUUCGAAUGAUUAUAUAAGUAUAUAUAUAUGUAUAAACACAUGGAUUUGAUUUGUGAUAUGUAUGUUAUAAUUGUAUAUAUAGAUUGAAUAAGCAUGCAAAUAUACAUGUAUGUGUUGUGUAUUGAAUUUAGAUAUGUCAUUAUAUAAGUAUAUGAGGAUCGAUUAUGCAUAUAUAUAUGUAUAAGUUCUUGUUUUGAAAUUGAGUAUGAAUUUAUACAUUUAUAUGGUAGAUUUGAAUAUGUAUGAAUGUACAUGUAUAAUUUCUUGAAUUGAAAUUAAGUAUGGAAUUAUAUAUGUAUACAUGAGGUCGAAUGUGAAUGCAUAUGCAUAUGUAUAAGUUUUGUAUUGAAUUAAUGGUAUGAAAUUAUUAGCUUAGAUUAUUUUAAUAUGUUGAAUGUUAAAUGUAUAUUAUUUAAGUAUAUUAUAAGUUAAUAGUAUGAUAGUAGUAGUAGGAUCCAAAAUAUAAGGUUAUGUAUAAAUAUGUUUGGUGGAAUCAUUGAGUUAUGAAGUGGAAUUGAUAAUACAAAUUAUAUAUAUAUAUAUAUAUAUAUAUAUAUAUAUAUAUAUAUCCAUGUGUUCAAAGAGAAAGAUUAUAAGUUUUGAGCUGAAUUUUACGUAUGGAUUUAUAUCCAUAAAUAGUUCGAAUACGAGAUACAACUUAUGUGAAUUGAGAUUUCAAGCUCAGUGCCUAGAAGACUUAUUGCCAGUGAGAUAAUUCAGACUCUAUGUCUAGCAAGCUGGAUGCUAGUGAAACAAUUCAGACUCUACGUCUAGCAAGUUGGAUGCCGGUGAAACAUUUCGGACUUUAAGUCUAGCAGGCCAAAAGCCAGUGUACUGAAUCAGAUUUAAAGAUCAAGCUUCAAGCUUGAGGAUCGUCAACAAGAUCAUCACUCUAUCUACUCUCUCGGUAUUAAAAUGUUUUAAAUUUUAAUUAUGACAUGUAUAGACUAGAUAAAUGUUUUGAAGGUCAUACUUUGUUAUAUUGUAUAUUAAUUUAAUAGCCAUACGGAAAUGGUUUAUUUCCUUAUA